GGUGUAGCUCAGUGGACAGAGUGCUUGCCUAUGAGGCACAAGGCUCUGGGUUCGAUUCCCUGUACC
rnacentral:tRNA from 1 species